CCUACGGGUGGCAGCAGUGAGGAAUAUUGGACAAUGGGCGCGAGCCUGAACCAGCCAAGUAGCGUGAAGGAUGACUGGCCUACGGGUUGUAAACUUCGUUUAUAAAGGAAUAAAGUGAGGCGAGUGAGUGUUUUCGCAUGUACUUUAUGAAAAAGGAUCGGCUCACUUCGGUCCAGCAGCCGCGGUAAUGCGGAGGUUCGGAGCGUUAUCCGGAUUUGUUGUGUUUGAAGUGAGGGUAGGUGGGUUGUUAGGUCAGUUGUGAAAGUGUGCGGUUCAACCGUAAAAGUGCAAUUGAUACUGGCCGCCUUGAGUACAGUUGAGGUAGGCGGAAUUCGUGGUGUAGCGGUGGAAUGCUUAGAUAUCACGAAGAACUCCGAUUGCGAAGGCAGCCUACUGGUCUGCCACUGACAUUGAUGCUCGAAAGUGUGGGUAUCAAACAGGAUUAGAUACCCGGGUAGUC
rnacentral:rRNA from 1 species